UACGUAGGGUGCGAGCGUUGUCCGGAAUUAUUGGGCGUAAAGAGCUCGUAGGCGGUGUGUCGCGUCGGCCGUGAAAACUUGCAGCUUAACUGUGGGCGUGCGGUCGAUACGGGCAUCACUGGAGUUCGGCAGGGGAGACUGGAAUUCCUGGUGUAGCGGUGAAGUGCGUAGAUAUCAGGAGGAAUACCGAUGGCGAAGGCAGGUCUCUGGGCUGACACUGACGCUCAUGCACGAAAGCGUGGGGAGCAAACAGG
rnacentral:rRNA from 1 species